GACGUAGGUGGCGAACGUUAUCCGGAAUUAUUGGGCGUAAAGGGUGCGUAGAUGGCCUGAUAAGUUAGCAGUGGGAAAUCGAGGCUCAACCUCGUGGAAGCUGGUAAUACUGUCAGGCUCGAGUGCAGGAGAGGUUAACGGAACUCCAUGUGGAGCGGUAAAAUGUGUAGAUAUAUGGAAGAACACCAAUAACGGCGAAGGCAGUUAACUAUUCUGUUACUGACAUUGAGGCACGAAAGCGUGGGAGCAAAACGG
rnacentral:rRNA from 1 species